AGGGAAAUGUUGGUGUGGUCCACAGAUUACGCGAUUUUAGCCCUCAUUAGAAACAUAUAAGUUCCAUUCGUUGACAUAGGAACCUUGGAUCUUUUCAUUUUUAUGAAAAUAAAGUAAUGUCAGCUAUCACGCGUGAUCAUGCUGAUUAGAAGAUUUGUUUUGUCUUGCAGAGACUAGACAUACAGAAAAUUCCAUAUGUUUUGUCCCGAAGGAAAAAUAGAUCACAAUCAAGAAAUGAACAUAUAAAUGACAGGUUCUUGCUUACAAGGGGCUCUUGGAAAGUAUUAAUGAGUAAUCAUUAGAAUUCAUUCUGGUGGAUGAACUGGUCUAAGGGUCUGAGUUUCCAUGGUUAACGUCUACAACUGCUUAAGUCUGCAUAAACAAGCUUUCGUAUUCUACUUAAAUAGGUCCGCUGGUUUAUGAAUUCAUAAAGCGAGUUAUAGGGAUCAAUCAAUGGCUUUUAAAUGAAGGCAUAUGCAUGGAGAUUUCAGUUGUCCUGUUGGAGAUAUGAGUAUGUGAAUAUGACACCUUCUAGCUUCUCCAAAGAGUACGCUGCUUAUCCGUUAAUGUCUAUGGUGGUACGUUAAAAUUCUUGAAAACAUAGCGGAGUGUUAGAUUCUGAGGUCCACCAAUGUUUGCCAACACUAACUUUCUUCGCUAAGUGUCUUCGAUAGAAUAUCAUGAGUAGCAACUCCUUAUGUUUUCGAUCAUUAUUGGUAUGUUAGUAAUGCUGUUGGUGUCAAUGUAGCAGAACAAGUUAACAGUUU